CCUUAGAUGUCCUAACAAUUGUGAAGGC
rnacentral:sRNA from 1 species